rnacentral:tRNA from 1 species
ACUAAGCUGGCGGGCCUUUAUCCCACAAAAAUCUAAUUAACAGCUAGACGUCUAAUUCCAGCGGACUUCAACUUA